rnacentral:rRNA from 1 species
GAUGAACGCUGGCGGCGUGCCUAAUACAUGCAAGUCGAGCGAACGGACGAGAAGCUUGCUUCUCUGAUGUUAGCGGCGGACGGGUGAGUAACACGUGGAUAACCUACCUAUAAGACUGGGAUAACUUCGGGAAACCGGAGCUAAUACCGGAUAAUAUUUUGAACCGCAUGGUUCAAAAGUGAAAGACGGUCUUGCUGUCACUUAUAGAUGGAUCCGCGCUGCAUUAGCUAGUUGGUAAGGUAACGGCUUACCAAGGCAACGAUGCAUAGCCGACCUGAGAGGGUGAUCGGCCACACUGGAACUGGGACACGGUCCAGACUCCUACGGGAGGCGGCAGUAGGGAAUCUUCCGCAAUGGGCGAAAGCCUGACGGAGCAACGCCGCGUGAGUGAUGAAGGUCUUCGGAUCGUAAAACUCUGUUAUUAGGGAAGAACAUAUGUGUAAGUAACUGUGCACAUCUUGACGGUACCUAAUCAGAAAGCCACGGCUAACUACGUG